GCUCCUCCUCUCCCGGGACUCGCCGCUCGCAGCUACGCCGGCCUUCCCCGCCACCCGGCCCCGUCUCCACCCUCACCCCUGCCCGCCAGGCCUCUUUGGCUGUAACUUGUUCUAGUUUCUUAGGAGUCAAACGCUUCGGGUUCGAGAAUCUUACCCAAAGGAAAGAAAUUGCAUUUAAGAGGAACUCCUUACAAACAAGUCAAGAGGAAGUGAGACUGUUAAAUUUUUAAAAUGUCUCUCAGGUAACAGCAAGGGUUACUCUGUUGCUGCCAAGAGAGCUCGAUAUGAGACGGCCAAACUGAGUCAGAUGACUGUUUUGUUAAAAUAGGGUUUCGAGACUGUAGAUUCAUGAGAUGGGGAUUCAGCAGAAGGAAAACAUUCCCAUCUCCAUUAUAGGAAAGUUAUAAUGGUGUUGACUAUUUGGAAGAAAAGAGAAAAAGAGACAAAGAAGCGAUCUUGCUUAAUCACAACAAAUGUUCUAUUAAACAUUAUGUAAAAACAAA